rnacentral:rRNA from 1 species
CUCAAAUAAUGUGAGAA